rnacentral:rRNA from 1 species
UACGUAGGUGACAAGCGUUGUCCGGAUUUACUGGGCGUAAAGAGCGCGCAGGCGGUCGUUCAAGUCGAGUGUGAAAGCCCCCGGCUCAACUGGGGAGGGUCAUUCGAUACUGAUCGACUCGAAGGCAGGAGAGGGUAGUGGAAUUCCCGGUGUAGUGGUGAAAUGCGUAGAUAUCGGGAGGAACACCAGUGGCGAAGGCGACUACCUGGCCUGUUCGUUGACGCGUGA